rnacentral:lncRNA from 1 species
UAAUGGACAUCUGUUACUUCCUGAUUGCCAAAGGACUGUCCAGUCCUGCCGAGUGCUGUGAGGGGCCACCUUACGCAGUGGCAGAGUCUGGCAUGCUAGCAGAAUGCUGUGGAGUGGCACGUGUCAGAGGACACCUCAGUUCACGUCGGACCAUUCACAGCAGCAGAAGGGCAGGAUCGGCUGUAGAAAAGGAGACUGAAGAGUUUUCUGCCCCUGCCCAGGGGAGCAAGGUUCCAUGUAGAAGAACCAAUGUGUGCCCAAGAGGCACAGCUGCUAGACCACAGUUCAGAGCCAGAGAAAUUACUUCCACCUCUACCCUACCCUGGCAGCCACUCGAAUUAGGAAUACUGACAUGUUUACAGACAUUAUGGAUGUGACCGAUUUGGGGAUCUUAUGGGCGGUCCAUAAAUUUACAGAAAGUUGACAACACCAUUGUCCCGGAAUACUAUGGGACUUGAUACCUAUAUUUCCUUCCCCAAACUCAACUGGCCUCUUACCAAGAGGAAAGGGAAAGGCCUAGUGGAGAUAAGAUUAAUGACUUUGGAAACCCAUGCCACUAGCGCCACCUCGGAGCCCA